rnacentral:lncRNA from 1 species
UUCUAAUCCUAUAGAUCUAUGAUCUUCUGGGGGCGUUUAUAUUAUAUAUACCUACAUUAAAUAAUAUGCUGUGGUUUAUUUUCUGUAUUUUAUUUAUGCUUUCUAUAUAAAGGAUUUAUGAAAGUUGUCUAGGAAAUUUUAGGGAUAAAUUCAAAAGAAACUAGGGUAAAAUGUGUUAAAAAAAACGUAAGUGGAAACACUGCUUUGAAGUUUUCAAAAUUCCAGGGCCGUAAAACAAUCUCAAAAAAAAAAAAAAGUUUUCAAAAUGUCGUAACGAUUUAAUUUUUUAAAUCGUUUUUUUUUGGUCUUGGUGUGAGUUAUUUUACGUUGUAGUAUUAAUUUAGAGCAACUUUUAGCUUUAUGAGAAUAUUAGACGAUUAGACAUUGAGAAACUCUGUUUUGAAUUCUCUUUAGACAUAACUUGGCUCCAAUACUUUUUUCUUCGUUAGCGUUUCGUAAGCCUGUGUAACUAUUUUCAUUUCUUACAGAAAGUUUAUUAUUAAAAAUCAGCAUGCCUCGAAGAUCGAAAAUGAAAUGCUAUUUCGGAUGCCUUGAUAACGACAAAGGUUUGAUAAUGACAAAAUUUUAUGGAAAAAUUAUAAGGAGCACUAAAAUGUCUGAAACAUGAAAAGAUUGAUGCACUAUAUUUGAACCAGAACGUGUUAUGUAAUAUAUUAAUUUAAGAGAAACUGAUUCAGCAAGGAACGUGAACUCUCAAGGGAUCUUAAUUUUUUUUAAAUAUGUUUAUAAUUGAUAAAUUAAUAAUUGAAAUAGUUCAUAAGAACUAAAUUGAUGCCAAUUUUGUUUUAAAAUAGGUUGUUUAGUUCUUAUAGUUAUAGUAUUACGUUUGAAUAGUUGUAAUUAGUAAGUUAGUAAUAUAUGAAAAUACUGAUAUAAAUUUUUGUAAAUAACCUUUUGUAAAUUCUACGAGAAGAUGAUUUUAAUUAAUGAUCAAAAGUCAACGGUCUUUAAAAGCAUUAUUUGCAAUUAUUUAGAUUAACUGUGGAAUAUAUUUGCUAAGUUGUGUUUUCUGUAUGAGCAGAUAUAAAUGAAAAUGCCCAAACAUGAUUAUGUUUCUUACAUUUUCAUUAUGUGAAAUCAAUAUGCUUGUGACUGAGUAUAUUAAUAAUUUAUUAAAACUUAAGUGAUAGACAGCAACCCCUAUGGCACUGCUGAAGUUUAUAAGCACUGGUGACCACUUAUCAUGGGCCGGGUUGCGUGCUCGUCUGCUGUUGAGUGCAAUAAAAAUUUUCGAAACCCUUUCUAUUAUUUAGAUGUAAUAUUAGUGUACAUUUAAUUUGGAUUAAAAGAUAAAUUUACAUUUUAUGUUUGCAUGUGUAUGUUUAUAAUUCAUUUGCAUGUAACGAACACCAGUUUCUUUUGUAACAAAAUGUAAACUAAUGGUUUGUAAUGAAUGUAAUUAACUUUAAGAUGAUUUUCUUUCAAUCUGCUGUUUGUUUCAUCUAGUAUUACCAAAGCUAAAGCAUCAGAAACGUCAGAAUAGAAAUAAUUUAGAUAGGGAAUAAAAGUAUAACUAAUGUAAUCAUGUCUAAGAUUACUAUAAGCGUCAUUAAGUACAAACUAUCAAUAUUUAAGAGUACUUUAAAUCAUCAUUACAUUUUUUAAACAUUUUUUGUUUUUCAAAUCAUGUAAUAAAACGUUUGUGCAGAACAAAAUGUCACAUGUUAUGAACAUGAUUGUGGGUUAAUCGUUUCUUAAAUUUCUAAAUGUUUAUAAGAAUGCUAAGAAUAAUUUAGUAUUCACUUUAGUGUGUGUAUUAUCUCUACAAUGCUAGUUUAAAUGACAAUUAUUGUAUGACGAAGCAUAGGUAGUGUUUAUAGAUGUAAUAUUUUCAUACAAGGUCAUGAUCUGUCACGAUCAACUUUAAGCAAGAACUGCUAUCGUUAAGAAACAAAUUUAUUAAAUUUAAUUCAAAUUGUCUACUAUGUUUGUAAUGGAAAGCUGACAUGUUUAUAUUUCGCACAAAUGACUUAAUUGACAUUGAAUGAUUUGAUUAUCUAGACUUAAUUAACUUUUAGAUAACUUUCGAUUUAAUGUGUACGCUAGUAGGAUUAAUCUAGAGGAGUUAUUGUUAUUCGAAAUUUUAUACAAUUGUACGUUCAUACAAUCUUUUAACAGAAAUUUGUUUGUAAUAUAGGGAAAUUAAAUAGCUUACAGAGAA